UACGUAGGGAGCAAGCGUUGUCCGGAAUCAUUGGGCGUAAAGCGCGCGUAGGUGGCCACAUAAGUCCGUUGUGAAAGUCAAAGGCUCAACCUUUGAAAGCCGAUGGAUACUGUGUGGCUAGAGUACGGAAGAGGCGAGUGGAAUUCCUGGUGUAGCGGUGGAAUGCGCAGAUAUCAGGAGGAACACCAGUGGCGAAGGCGGCACUCUGGGCCGGUACUGACGCUGAGGAGCGAAAGCGUGGGGAGCGAACAGG
rnacentral:rRNA from 1 species